AAUGAAAGAUGAAAUGAUGUUGAUGGAUAAUGGGGGUGAAGAGCUAAGAUAAGGGAGGGGCUGGUUAUGACAUCGUCCCAGCAGCCACCCUUCUCGCCGAUUUGAUGGGGGUGAAAUGAUAUCUUAAACUAGUACAUAUAAAAUUUUGUAAGUAAAAGGAAUAUAAUUGUAAGACUUAAAAUAGUAUUAACAGUAGUAUCGUACAUUGGUAUUUUUAUGUUUUUUUUUUUUUUUUUUUUUUUUUUUUUUUUUUUUUUUUUUUUUUUUUUUUUUUUUUUUUUUUUGUUAGGUUAGGUUAGGUUUUUUUUUUUUAUUAAAAUAAGUUGAGACGCUAUGAGAGUUUAAUUGUAGAGAAAAGAUGGUUUGAUGAGUAUUACAAGAUAAAAUGAGAAGUGUUUGGGUACGCUCCGGCAAACGUAAAGAAGAAAUUUAAGGGUUAAAUAUUUUUGAGACAUUGAGAGUAAAAGUAUAUACAAUAAAAAGUUAGGGUAGUCCCGGCUGGAGUCUUGUUAUGAAUCGGUGACUUUCUGGUGGGCGGGGUGGCCUGCGAUUUGAUACAGUUGGUCCCACCCAUUCAGAACAGCCAACCAAAAUGAAAGAUGAAAUGAUGUUGAUGGAUAAUGGGGGUGAAGAGCUAAGAAAAGGGAGGGGCUGGUUAUGACAUCGUCCCAGCAGCCACCCUUCUCGCCGAUUUGAUGGGGGUGAAAUGAUAUCUUAAACUAGUACAUAUAAAAUUUUGUAAGUAAAAGGAAUAUAAUUAUAAGACUUAAAAUAGUAUUAACAGUAGUAUCGUACAUUGGUAUUUUUAUGUUUUUUUUUUUUUUUUUUUUUUUUUUUUUUUUUUUUUUUUUUUUUUUUUUUUUGUUUUUUUUUUUUUUUUUUUUUUUUUUUUUUUUUUUUUUUUUUUUUUUUUUUUUUUUUUUUUUUUUUUUUUUUUUUUUUUUUUUUUUUUUUUUUUUUUUUUUUUUUUUUUUUUUUUUUUUUUUUUUUUUUUUUUUUUUUUUUAUCUAUACCUCCGACAUGUGGGUCGGAGCACGUUUUCUGCAAUUACUCUUUCAUUCCAGUUCUCGCUUUCAUGCCUCUCGUACUUUCAUGCCGCAUACUUGUUCUUUCUUUCAUACAUCUCUCUCUUACUCGGGGUGGGUUCCCCACUACUAUUUGGCCUAUCUUAUAUUGGUUACUUUACUUAUCAUAUCUUAUUCUAGGGUAAAUGAUUGUACAGUUCAGUUGGUAUAUUAUUUUUGUUUUACAGGGCUGUUUCUUUAAUUGUUAUUUUAUACAUUGUAAUUCUUUAUUUAUCUUGGUGAUAUUACCAUUACAACUUUUUUAAUUUUGACAAUUUCUUAAAACUACAAUUGUAACUCUUAUUCUAUAGGAUCUUAAUUCUAUGCUUAUAGUAUCUUUACAAAUUUUUAUAUUUUUCUUUUUAAUUUAUACAUAUACUUACUUGCUAACAUUUAUUUAUUAAUCCUUAUCUUAGUUUUUUUUUUUUUUUUUUUUCUACAUUUAAACUUUUAACUAAGUACUAAAAAUUUAUUUGCAACAAACUGAUGACCUAUUCCAAUGCUUACAAUUUACUACUUAACCUAUGCUAAAUAUCUAUAUACUUAUUAUAUAGAAAUAGCAUAAUUGCCUGCCUCUCUAUUGAAGAGCGACUAGUUUAGAU
rnacentral:misc_RNA from 1 species